AAGGCUUCAGUACGACCCAGUCAGAACCAUAAGUCUCAAAGCCCCGACGAGUAGGGUGGCGUGCCGGUGCGCGUUGAAGGCCAAGACGUGAGUCAGGCUGGAGCCGCCGGUAGUGCAGAUCUUGGUGGUAGUAGCAAGUACUCUGGUGAACCAACCUGGAGCUGUGAGGUCUGGAUCAGGGUUCCAUGUCAACAGUGAUUGAACAUGGGUGAGUCGAUCCUAAGCCAACUGUGAAAGCAGUGACAUCCCGACAAAGGGGCUUUUUCGUGCGCUGCACCUCUUGCACCCCCAGGGCCGUGAGUGCUCAAGUAUCUCUCUCUCUCAAACACACAAAAAAGGUGCUUGGUUUGGGGCGCGUGCUCGCACACACGGUGAUCGCAUUUAAAAUGCGUGAGUGUGAUGCGAGUCGCGCUUGUCUGGUGCUCGCGGGCGCGUACACACGGCGAUCGCAUUUAAAAUUCGUGCGUGAGUGUGUGCGCGUUGCGCUUGACUGGUGUUGAUGCUCGCGGGCGCGUACGCACGGCGAUCGCAUUUAAAAUUCGUGCGUGAGGGUGUGCGCGUUGCGCUUGAUUCUGGUUACGCUCAUAAGCGUUGAGGCUAUCUCUGUUCUGGUACACACGGAGAGAGAGAGAGAAAUAAAAAAUGGGUGAGCGCGAGAGGCUGCUCUUGCAUGAGCUCCCUGCGUCUGGUUCCAUGUCUGGCGAAAGGGAAUGGGGACUUUGUUCCUUGACCGGUCCCGGCACCCUCGAUUGGCUUUGCCAGUUAAUGGUCCAUGCAAAUGGAACCAGGCCACAGCCGCCGGCAGUCGCCCGAGGAAGAGUUUUCUUUUCUGCUUAACGCACGAGGUCAUCCCUGGAAACAGUUCGGCUGGCGAAAGGGUGCCCCUUGCGGCAGAGCGCCACGACUGUCGUGCGCGUCUCGGUGUUCCUGCCGGUCCGUGAAAACGUGGUCGAGGGGAUUGCUGUAUUGUAUCAACGAAACGCCCGACAAGUUCGGGACGGACCGUACCCUAUAUCCGCAUCUGGUCUCCAAGGUUCGUAGCCUCUGCAGAGUCAGACACAUGUAGGUAAGGGAAGUCGGCAAACUCGAUCCGUAACUUCGGGAAAAGGAUUGGCUCUGAGGGCCGAGCUGGGCCGGGCCUUGCCUGCAAAGCAGUACCUAUAGUGACCGGAGUUUCAGGAGUGCGAGGGGCUCUAGUAGCUGCUCGUGCGUGUGUGCGUUCGCGCGUGCGCGCGUGUGGGCACGAACGAGUUCACCGCUCCGCUCCAACCACGAACGGCUGUGACGGCAAGGGCUCUGGGCGGGAGCGAUCAAACCGUUGGCCUCCAGCUCGUCUGGCUGGCGGCGGUGCUCCGUCUGACCCAUACGGCUCCAGCGGCUAGCGGCUAACUCAGAACUGUCAUGGACCAAGGGAAUCCGACUGUCUAAUUAAAACAAAGCGUCGUGACGGCCCCUGUUGGGUGUUGACGCGACGUGAUUUCUGCCCAGUGC
rnacentral:rRNA from 1 species